GAUGGUUGUACUGAUGUCUGUCGGAGAAAAUCAGCAGGGGGCUGGUGUGCACAGAAAGGGAGCUGGUCUGAGAAGAGGGGUCAAGCCGCAGCCGUGGGGGUGGAGGUCAACCUUGGCAUCUGUCACAGGCGUUGUCCCGCGAGCGCCCAGCAUCCUCCCAUCAGCUUUCUUCUCCAGAACCCAGACCUCCCUCUCCCACAAGCUGCGUCUCACACCGACUGCGCCCCAGGAGUGGACCAGAUUGAUCCAUUCUGAUUGCCGGCUGUACCAGCUAGCUAGGGCUACUUGACAAAACACCACAGACUGGGUAGUUUAAAUGACAGAAUCUUAUUUUCUCACUGUUCUGGAGUUCAGAGUCCAAGUUCAAGGUGUUGGCAAGUUUGGUUUGUUUUGAGACCUUUCUCCUUGUCCUGUGGAUGGCCACUGUGUCUGCAUAUGGUCAUCCCUUGGAAUGCGUGUUAUCUGUGUCCUAAUCUUUUCUUAAAAGGACAUCAGGCAUAUUGGAUUAGGGCCCACCCACAGAACCUCAUUUUCACUUAAUUACCUCUUUUAAGGACUUUGCUAGUGGUCCAGUGGUUAAGAAUUCACCUUCCAAUGCAGAGGAGAGAAGGUCAAUCCCUGGUCUGGAAAGAUUCCACGUGCUGAGGAGCAACUAAGCCUGUGAGCCGCAACUACUGAAGCCCGCACACUAGAGCCUGCGCUCUGCGCCGUGAGAUGUCACUGUGGUGAAAAGCCAUUGCGCCACAGCUAGAGAGUAGCCCCAACUCACUGCAUCUGGAAAGAGUCCCUCAUGCAGCAGUGAAGACUCAGUGUGGCCAAUAAAUAAAUAAACGUAAAAUAUUGCCUUUUUUAAGGCCCCAUCUCCAAAUAUGGGUACAGUCUUAGGUACUGGGGAUUGAGGACUUCAACAUGUAAAUGGAGGGCGGGGAGGCUGCAGUUCAGCCUCUAACAGCAGUCAUUGUUCCGAAACGGGCAUGUGGCCCAAUUCAAGUCAAUGGUAUAUGGAUGGAUACUCGCUGGAGGUAGAGUGGAGUCUCGGGAAACUCUCUUCUCACCUAAGGCAGAACACAGGGAGAGAUGCUCUCUUCUUCCUUUGAAAACUGUCAUGUUAGAAUGUGAUACCCAGGCCUGGGGGUGCCCAGGGUGGGUACUGGGAACUCUACAGGGUUGAGGUGGUAUAUCAGUCAGCCCUGAAGUCAGCCCAAAGCUGUCCUGUGGGUUGAAGCUGGUUUAAGUUAAGGUUUUGGUUACACCUGGAAACCACCCUAACUGCCAUUUGAAGCAGAGAUAGUUAGGGUUCCACCUACACCUCCUCUCUCCACCUCCCUGCGCUCACGGUGCCCUUUAUGGAAUCCAUUUGUGCAAGUAACUUUCCGAUGAAGUGGCUUCCUGUGGGUGCAUUGUCAGGCAAAGGAAUGCUUUCAUUGAUCUGCUGAUGAGUACCUCCUGCCGGAUGCCUGCUUUUAUCAACUUAGUUCUCGCUGUGUAUCAAGUUCCUGGAAGCCGGUCCAAGUGAAUCUGCCUCUGACGUGUAUUCAGACCCUGCCCAGGACAACGUCAGGUUCCAGCCUGGUCCGUGAGGAGCCUUCUGGCAGGACUGACCUCUCCUUCCUC
ensembl:lncRNA